rnacentral:rRNA from 1 species
UACGGGGGGGGCAAGCGUUUGUUCGGAAUUACUGGGCGUAAAGGGCUCGUAGGCGGCCAACUAAGUCAGACGUGAAAUCCCUCGGCUUAACCGGGGAACUGCGUCUGAUACUGGAUGGCUUGAGUUCGGGAGAGGGAUGCGGAAUUCCAGGUGUAGCGGUGAAAUGCGUAGAUAUCUGGAGGAACACCGGUGGCGAAGGCGGCAUCCUGGACCGACACUGACGCUGAGGAGCGAAAGCCAGGGAGCAAACGGG